AGCGAACGCUGGCGGCAGGCUUAACACAUGCAAGUCGAGCGGGCACUUUCGGGUGUCAGCGGCGGACGGGUGGGUAACGCGUGGGAACGUGCCCUCUGGUUCGGAAUAACUCAGGGAAACUUGAGCUAAUACCGGAUACGCCCUUUUGGGGAAAGGCUUGCUGCCGGAGGAUCGGCCCGCGUCUGAUUAGCUAGUUGGUGAGGUAACGGCUCACCAAGGCGACUAUCAGUAGCUGGUCUGAGAGGAUGAUCAGCCACACUGGGACUGAGACACGGCCCAGACUCCUACGGGAGGCAGCAGUGGGGAAUAUUGGACAAUGGGCGCAAGCCUGAUCCAGCCAUGCCGCGUGAGUGAUGAAGGCCUUAGGGUUGUAAAGCUCUUUUAUCCGGGACGAUAAUGACGGUACCGGAGGAAUAAGCCCCGGCUAACUUCGUG
rnacentral:rRNA from 1 species